rnacentral:rRNA from 1 species
CAGUCGCCGCGGUAAAACGGAGGGUGCAGGCAUUAAUCGGAAUUACUGGGCGUAAAGCGUGCGUAGGCGGUUCGUUAAGUCUGUUGUGAAAGCCCCGGGCUCAACCUGGGAAUGGCAAUGGAUACUGGCGAGCUAGAGUGUGUCAGAGGAUGGUGGAAUUCCCGGUGUAGCGGUGAAAUGCGUAGAGAUCGGGAGGAACAUCAGUGGCGAAGGCGGCCAUCUGGGACAACACUGACGCUGAGGCACGAAAGCGUGGAGAGCAAACAGGAUUAGAUACCCCAGUAGUCCCUGUCUCUUAUAA